GGAAUAUUGCACAAUGGACGCAAGUCUGAUGCAGCAACGCCGCGUGGGUGAUGAAGGUUUUCGGAUCGUAAAGCCCUUUUCUUAGUGACGAGAACAAGGACGGUAGCUAAGGAAUAAGUGUCGGCUAACUAAGUGCCAGCAGCCGCGGUAAAACGUAGGACGCAAGCGUUAUCCGGAAUUACUGGGCGUAAAGCGCGCGCAGGCGGGUUACCAAGUCUUUCGUGAAAGCUCCCGGCUAAACUGGGAGAGGUCGGAAGAUACUGGUAGCCUAGAGUAUGGCAGAGGAGUGUGGAAUUCCGCGUGUAGUGGUGAAAUGCGUAGAGAUGCGGAGGAACACCAGUGGCGAAGGCGGCACUCUGGGCCAAAACUGACGCUGAGGCGCGAAAGCAUGGGUAGCGAACG
rnacentral:rRNA from 1 species